rnacentral:lncRNA from 1 species
CUCAGACAAGGAGAAGAUGGAGAUCUAAAGGAAGACAAUCAGGAUCAGAAGCAUGAAGGAACAGCAAGGAAGAUAUAAUUAGGGAAGCAGCUUGAUGGAAAGAGAUCUGGCUCUGAAGAUAAAAGUUGCAUCAUUUCCAGGACAAUUCAUAGAAUGGAAGAUUAACUCAGAGAAGAGAUUCUUGUCCUGGUCUCCUCCAGCUGCAUCAUUCAUAGGUACUUCUUUUGCAUGGCUAUGUAUUCUUAUGGCUACAUGUCUGGCAUUCCGAUAUGUUAUCACCCAUAAUGCAGUGUUGGUGGUGGGUGCUAGACUUAUAUUUUUAGACUGAUGGGUGCAUUUAGAAAUUGAUUGACAAUCCCAGGUGUCCUGGCUGGGGCUGGGUUGACUGUGAGACUUAAUAAAUGAAUUGUUUAAAAUCUCA